GCCUGCAGCAGAGUGUUAAUGCAUCGGAUCCCAUUAGAACUUUGUAGUUAAGCACACUCAAGCCAGAGUAGUACUGGGAUGGGUGACCGCCUGUGAAGUCCUAUAUUUUUACAUGCC
rnacentral:rRNA from 1 species